CUUCGGUAAACGUUACUUAUGUGCGUCUCAUAAAUCAGGUGUCUGAGUUCUCAGGCUGUGGCUGCAGUCUACCAUUGAAUUACAUCCCGUGAGCAAUGUUGUCCGAUUUCACCGGCCAGCACGUUCUUCUCGAGUGUGGGAUUGGUUUUUGCAAGACCUCGAAAGGAUUUUGAUAAGCCACCUGCUUAAGGCCGGCUGAAAAAGAAGAAAGGAGGGCAUAUGUGGGUCAGCUCACUCGGAAUAGAAGAGGAAUCAGAUUGCACCCUUUGUGGAAACCAGGCUCACGGCUGACUCCCUUCACAGCGUCUUCUCUGCUAACCUGAGAGGGAACCCAUCCCCUUUCUCGCUGAAGGCGCAAGAUGCUGGAUCCGUGCUUUUCUUGUGCACGUGCAACAGUGGAAGUGAUGGCUGACUGUGUGUUGGCUCCAUAAGAAGAACAUCACAGAAAGCAAAAUGGUGCCAGCUCAACACCAGUAUCCUCGGACUCUUCAGACAGAAAAACCUGUUAAUUCCAAUCACAAUUCAUUCUUUCAUUCAGCUCAUGGAAGCCAAGCAGGGCUUUGGGACAUUCAUUCUGGCAAAGUGAAACAACUGACUUUUUGUGAAUGCUAUUUAAGUUGUUUAAAUUUUCCACAUUGGAAAUAAAGUCAUUGCAUUUUUGUGAGGAUAAAACACAAAUUGUGGUGGAGUCCAGCGUCAUGGUAACAAUAAUAUUCCUACUAAAUUAAGACACUAAUGAAACAGAAAUGUGAUUGGAACAGGUCAUGGUGCACACACAAUUUGUUAUUGCAUAUAAAUAAAUGUCAAUAUUCUAUAAAUUGACAUUUAUAGACGUACGUGACAAAAUUUACAAAAUGUUAAAACAUAUGCACAGAUUUACUGAACUACAAACUUGUGAUAAAGUUGUUCAUGAAUUUUUUUAAAAAACUGGACUUUCACAUGUGUUUUCUCUUUUAUUUUCCCAUUAUCAAUCAAUUUUAGUGGACAUUGAGUCUCAGCAUCCUAAAAUGUUAUUAAACAGUGUAUUAAAACAGAUCUAUAAAUUUUCGUUGAAUUUUGUUCCAAAUCAGUUGGAAAUAUUUAGUCAAGUUAUUCAAUGAAUAGAGCAGCAAAACGUCAACUUUCAAAGCUUUUAGUGAAUUAUAAAUAUUGAAAACAAAGCUGGUAUGCAGAAAAAUUAUAAAAUGUAUCAGAAAAUGAUCAAAAUCAAAUGCUGUACAAGAGUUAAUUUUGAAAUUCUAAAAUGAGCUCUGGAACAUUUCAGCUUGUGGGAAGAAUCUUUUUAAUUGGAUAAAUUCAUGUUCUGUAUGAAAUGAGAUGAAAUUGAGAAAGCCAAUGAUUUUUUUUUUUUUUGCAGUAUCUGAAUCUGACAAAACAUUCAAAACUUAUAAGUAGGUACAACUUAUUUGAAAGGUUUAAUCUGGUUAAAAAAAAAUACGUGUGGGCUGGGCACGGUGUGGCUCAUGCCUGUAAUCCCAGCACUUUGGGAGGCUGAGGCAGGUGGAUCACAUGAGGUCAGGAGUUCAAGACCAACCUGGCCAACAUGGUGAAACUUUGUCUCUACUGAAAACACAAAAAUUAGCCGGGCAUGGUGGCAGGCGCCUGUAAUCCCAGCUACACAGGAGGCUGAGGCAGGAGAAUUGCUUGAACCUGGGAAGCGGAGGUUGUGGCGAGCCAAGAUCGCACCACUACAUUCCAAACUAAGGCACAAAGACAGCACCUGUGAAAAUAUCUGGGCUAAAAUAUUUAUGCAAUUCCAUAUGCAAAGAAUUGGACUUGAGAACAGCCUCUGCCUGGCAGAAUUUGCUGAGAGCUUAUCACUCAGAACCUGCACAGGGAACAUUUUCUCAAUAUAUUAUGGUUCAAGAGAAGAGUCAAUUGAAGGUACUAAUUUAAAUUUGUUAAUUGUAAAAUUUGUGGAAAAAAGAUUUCAGGCAAUUAUAUGGAAAAAUUAAAAAUAACAAGACCCCACUGAAGAAAAUACAUUCUUGUGAAAAAUGCCAGUGACAGGGUAUCAGUCAGGUACAAGAAACUGUAGCAUGUGAAUAUACAACAAGAACAAUUAUUUUGCUUAUCUUAUUUUUAAAUGUUCAGUUGAUUAACAUAAACAUGUUUUCUUUUGCUUUAAUAUUCAUAGGUGUAUGCAUAUAUAUUUAAAGACUUUUUUGAAAAUAGUUUUUAUCUAGAACUACUUUAUAACACCAUCAAUAUAAUAUAACCAUUUUGUUGGAUUUUUUCCCCUUCCUUCCUUCCUUCCCUUCAUUCCCUCCUUCUCUCCUUCCCUCCCUACCCUCCUUCCCUCCUUCCUUCCUUCCUUCCUCCAUCCCUCCCUUCCUCCCUCCCUUCUUCCCUCCCUCCCAUCCUGCUUUCCUUCCUUCCUUCCUUCCCUUCCUUCUUUCCUUCCUUCCUUCUUUCCUCUCUCUUUCUACCUGUAAAUACUAAUUUUUGGGGGAAAUAAUUUUUGACUAUUGGGGUGCCCCGGCAGUGUGCACACACAUGGCCUGACCAUCCCUCUCCUAGCUAUCUCUGAUGAUGGCCAGGAAGCUGAGGUCUAUGGUGACAGAGGCUGGCAGGUGGGAAUCUGUAGAAUUCCCCGGCGAUUGGUUGGGAUUUCUCAGGGAGAAAGGAGGCGAGGUCCUGACCUGUGGUGGAGGGGCUGGGGCAUUGAGAGUUUGAGAAGAGAUGGGAGGGUGUUGAGCACUGAUAUGGUUUGGCUGUGUCCCCACCCAAAUCUCAUCUUGAGUUGUAGCUCCCAUAAUUCUCUCGUGUUGUGUGAGGGACUUGGUGGGAGAUAAUUGAAUCAUGGGGAUGGAGAACAAAGCCAAGCCAAUAUCUUGACUUUAGCUCAGCGAGACUGAGUUUGAACUCCUGAUCUCCAGAACUGUAAGAUAAUAACUUGCAUCGUUUUAAGCCACUCACUUUGUGAUAAUUAAUUAUAGCAGCCUUAGGAAACCAGCACGGGGGUGAGGCUGCACCCUGCCCAGGAAGCCAGAGACGACCAGCUACGCAGGGACUUUAGCUCGAACCUGAUUAGGUCAGUGGACACCGCCCCCAUCCCCAGGACGGGGAGGUGGCUGGGGCCACUGCAGCCACAGCAUGUGUCUGCUCACAUGGGGCUUAUUUUUAAAGGGAUUGUCCUCACCUGCUGCUGUCUGUGUUUAUAAAGUUGGCUAGAGAGGAGAAAUCUUCCUUUGCCAGUUUUCAGCUUUAGCUCUGAUAUUUGCCUGGAACAUAGUAGGUGCUCAAUAAACAAUAUCUCUGGAUAUUGUUAGUAAUAUGUGACCCUAUUUGAAGAACUCAGAAGGGGCACUGGGCAAGUCUACAAGAGAUGGCAAUUCUGUAAUUCCUGUGUGGUAUUUUCUGAAUUCUGCACAUUUUAACCUAGGCUAUGAGACAGUGUGACUUUCUUCAACAAAUUAGUUAAUUCUUCAAAUUAACUCCAAUUUCAACAGCAUGGUGAUGUUAAAGGCAUUGGAAAUUCAGCCACAGAUGUUAAAGACCAUCAGCACGGUCACAUAGUAAGAUGCUACUUUCAAGCCACGAAUAACCCAACCAGUUAUUGGUCUUAUGAAAUCUUGUAAGCCAUCCCAGAGAGACUAAUUUAAUUUUUAUGAUUCAGAAUUUGCAGGCUGUAACUGGUCAGUCCAUGCGAACUCUGGUGGCUGCAUUCAGCCCUGACAUGUUUCACCUGACUUUGAUAUAAGGAGCUACUGGAACCUUCCUACGAGUUCUAAAACCUUUCCCUCCUCCUCCUGUUCUGGAAAAGCAAUUAAGACCCAAACUAGGCAUGAAAUAAAAGUCUCUUAAAUUGAUUUAGAAUUAUUUUUAAAAAGUACCCUCACAGAAGUGGAAAAUUUUGCCAAUAGGUAGGUGUAAAAGGAAGUUUUUUGUUUUUCUAAG
rnacentral:lncRNA from 1 species